GAUGAAGAACGUAGCGAAAUGCGAUAAGUAAUGUGAAUUGCAGAAUUCAGUGAAUCAUCGAAUCUUUGAACGCACCUUGCGCUUUUUGGCCAUUCCAAAGAGCAUGCCUGUUUGAGUGUCAUUGAAUCCUCAAGGCCCCCUUUGCCCUUUGCGGCUUUUGGGGACUUGGAUGUGGGAGCGCUGCGGGAGGCCUACAAGAUUGGCCUCUCGCUCUCCUCAAACGCAUCAGUAGGGCCUCUCGGGUCUUCACGGCGUUGAUAGUCGUCCACGCCUCGUCCCGUUGGGGGGUUCACCUGCUUCGAAAAAAACACCCUUCUCUGACUCUUUUGACCUCAAAUCAGGUAGGACUACCCGCUGAACUUAAGCAUAUCAAUAAGCGGAGGA
rnacentral:misc_RNA from 1 species